UUAAUAGUUAAGUUCUUUAAAUUUAAAAAAUUUGGCGGUAUUUUAGUCUUAUUAGAGGAACCUGUUUAUUAAUUGAUAAUCCACGAUUAAUUUUACUUAUUUUAAUUAAUUCAUAUAUCGCUGUCAUGAAUAUAUUUAAAAAUUUAUUUUCUUUUUUUAUUUUUAUAAUUUAUGUUAAGUCAAGAUGUGGUUUAUAAAUAAGAAUAUAAUGGGUUACAUUAAAUUUUAUUUUUGGAUUUUAAAUGAAAAUUAAAAUGAAAUUGGAUUUAAUAGUAAAUUUAUUUAUUUAAUUAAUAUGAAUAAAGAUCUAAAAAAUGGACCUAUUGCCCCGCCUUCCUAUUAAAAAUAAGACAAGUCGUAACAAAGUAAAUGUACUGGAAAGUGUAUUUAGAAAGAUUAAUUUAUAAAA
rnacentral:rRNA from 1 species